AUGGUGCAGAGUCCCUUACCUUUUUGCACCCAAGAAAUGGCGCGGCGGCGGGCGGCGGAAGCAGCAGUAUCUGAUGGCUGCAUGCCACUGGGCGGCCCUCCCUUCAUGCCUUGCAUCCAGCCGAGGCUCCGCCGGGUGCGUGCGAGAGGCGGCGGAAUGGUGUGGCCAUGGACAAGAUCGCCGGCCACAAGGACGAGCAGAAGCAGAGCCAUGAGCGCUGUUUUGGGUGCCAUUCUUCUUGCCGUCUAUGCUCCUCUUUUGCUAGCUGCUGGAUCUGCCCCAAACACCAGUAGUCUGCACCUGCACUGCACAUGGCCGGGGAGUGCAGAUAUAUAG
rnacentral:rRNA from 1 species